rnacentral:hammerhead_ribozyme from 21 species
GUGCAGUUGGGGCAACAGUUAAGCCCCCUGAUGAGACCUUUUGCAUGGUCAAAACUGCUG